UUGAAAUGUAUAUUCUGAAUUUCCUUUGAUAUUAAUGGUUUUGUAGAUAUCUCGUUUUUUUAUCAAUUCACUGGCAGCCAU
rnacentral:lncRNA from 1 species